rnacentral:lncRNA from 1 species
GGCAACCUUCCUGCGGUGUCCUCAUGGAAUCUUUUAUAUAGUCUAAUUCAAAGUUAUUAACUCAGCACAGUAAAUAUACGCACUAAAGACUGGGUGAACAAUGGCAAAUAAACUUGGAAGACCAAAUCCUCUUUUACAACUAAAAGUAACGUUACUGAGCUUUCUGCAGGAAUUUCUGGAAUGCUGUUUUCAUGUUCUGUGUUCCUCCACUGGAUUAAUCUAAUGCAUCCAAAGCAUAAGAAAAAAGGAUCCUGUUCCCUGUUCCCAGGGAAACUGGGCAGUGCUUCCAGAAGAC